GAACGCUAGCGGGAUGCCUUACACAUGCAAGUCGAACGGCAGCGCGGACUUCGGUCUGGCGGCGAGUGGCGAACGGGUGAGUAAUAUAUCGGAACGUGCCCAGUAGCGGGGGAUAACUACUCGAAAGAGUAGCUAAUACCGCAUACGCCCUACGGGGGAAAGGGGGGGAUCGCAAGACCUCUCACUAUUGGAGCGGCCGAUAUCGGAUUAGCUAGUUGGUGGGGUAAAGGCCCACCAAGGCGACGAUCCGUAGCUGGUUUGAGAGGACGACCAGCCACACUGGGACUGAGACACGGCCCAGACUCCUACGGGAGGCAGCAGUGGGGAAUUUUGGACAAUGGGGGAAACCCUGAUCCAGCCAUUCCGCGUGUGCGAUGAAGGC
rnacentral:rRNA from 1 species